GACGAACGCUGGCGGCGUGCUUAACACAUGCAAGUCGAACGGAAAGGCCCUUCUUUUGUGGGGUGCUCGAGUGUCAAACGUGUGAGUAACACGUUAGUAACCUGCCCUUGACUUUGGGCUAACUUCAGUAAACUGUGGCUAAUACCGCAUAGGAGCUCCUCCUCCCUGGUGGGGGCUUGAAUGUUUCUGCCGUUGGGGUUGGACUCGCGGCUUCUCAGCUUGUUGGUGGGGUAGUGGCGUACCAAGGCUUCGGCGGGACGACGGCCUGAGAGGUGACCGGCAACAUUGGGACUGAGAUGAGGCCCAGAAGACUACGGGAGGAAGCAGUGGGGAAUAUUGCACAAUGGGCGGAAGCCGGAUGCAGCAACGACGCGUGCGGGAUGAAGGACUUCGGGGGGUAAACCGCUUUCGCCUGUGAAGAAGAGUGAGUGACGGUAAUGGGUAAAGAAGCACCGGCUAACUACGUG
rnacentral:rRNA from 1 species